AUCGGAGUGCUUGCACUCUGUGAAACAAGAUACAGGCUAGCGGCGGACGGGUGAGUAACACGUGGGUAACCUGCCCAAGAGAUCGGGAUAACACCUGGAAACAGAUGCUAAUACCGGAUAACAACAGAUGAUGCCUAUCAACUGUUUAAAAGAUGGUUCUGCUAUCACUCUUGGAUGGACCUGCGGUGCAUUAGCUAGUUGGUAGGGUAACGGCCUACCAAGGCGAUGAUGCAUAGCCGAGUUGAGAGACUGAUCGGCCACAUUGGGACUGAGACACGGCCCAAACUCCUACGGGAGGCAGCAGUAGGGAAUCUUCCACAAUGGACGCAAGUCUGAUGGAGCAACGCCGCGUGAGUGAAGAAGGGUUUCGGCUCGUAAAGCUCUGUUGUUGGUGAAGAAGGACAGGGGUAGUAACUGACCUUUGUUUGACGGUAAUCAAUUAGAAAGUCACGGCUAACUACGUGCCAGCAGCCGCGGUAAUACGUAGGUGGCAAGCGUUGUCCGGAUUUAUUGGGCGUAAAGCGAGUGCAGGCGGCUCGAUAAGUCUGAUGUGAAAGCCUUCGGCUCAACCGGAGAAUUGCAUCAGAAACUGUCGAGCUUGAGUACAGAAGAGGAGAGUGGAACUCCAUGUGUAGCGGUGAAAUGCGUAGAUAUAUGGAAGAACACCGGUGGCGAAGGCGGCUCUCUGGUCUGUUACU
rnacentral:rRNA from 1 species